CAACAUCUGCCCCAUCUUAUUCCUUGUGUUUCAAUGGUCCGGAUUGGCCCACAUAGUUUAGGCAGUACACACACAUGGGACAUGACACAUGAUUUCACCCAGAUAAAGCUAGCCGGAGCUUUUCCACCAACAUAUUAGGGGCACUAAGGUGAGGCAAAUGGCCCUCAGUAUCCAACAUAAGCACGGUGCUGUGCCCGCCGAGUUGGUUCUUCAGAUAAGUUGCAACUGAAAUCGGCACCGACACAUCUUUAGCAGUUUGAAUUAUUGAACAUGGCACCUUCACUAGGCCUAAUACUCCCCUUAAGUCGCUACUAAAAACAGUAUGUGAUACGAAUAGUGCUAUGUCUGGCCUCAUAUUGAAUAAUGUUAGACUAAAUUCCCUCACUGCUACCGGCACGUCGGCUCCCACUGAUAAAGGAGCGAAACCGUUUACCCAUGCCUCGUAAUUAGACUUCAUUGCUAAUAACACUUUCUCGAUUUCUCCAUGUUCGAAGCCACCAUGGUAGUCUUCAUCAUUCAAAAAUCUGAAAAUAUUCAAUACUGAUAAGUGAUUACUCCGCGUUGUUAAAGAGGAAAUGAUCGAGUUAGUUCGAUCCACGAGAGUUGUUUUGUCAAAAGUAAAAUACGAGUAGUUUCAAUCAGAACUGCUAUUAAUGUGGGUAUCUCUAUUUCUAGAGUAGGGUCUGCAAUUCUAAUUAAAGCCACGAAAUAAGUAGCUGGUAAAUUAAAAUUGGAACUUACGCAACUCGUAGAAUUAGAACAUUUGCACAAUUUGUUUUAGAUCUCUAAAAAUCUACUCAGAAUCAAUUGGCAAAAGUUCGAUGAUUAUGUGAAUUGCUUAAACAAUCCUAAUCAGCUCCUAGAAGAACAAACGAUGAUCUAUUUAUUUCGGAACAAAUGGUUAUCUCGAUUCAAUCGUUUCAAAUAUGUAAGUUGAGGAUAAAUCUAAUAAGGAUGUUGCCAUAAUUGGUGUUAGACUUGAAGAACUUGUAAAGCAAUUUGUACUAGUGAGGGAGAAGAAGCAAUUUCUGAGAGCAGAUUGUAAUACCUACGCAUAGGAUUAGAGUUUUAUACUUGGGAUAUAUCCCUAGUCAACGCAAACUCAAAUCAAUUGGUUGAUUUGUGCGAUAAUGCUAAGGAUUGUGAGAUGUGUGAGAUCUGUGUGAGUGGUAUAUGGUUUUGGGAUUCUUGGAAAGUGAUUCUCGAUGGAGUCGAUUUGGGAGGAAGAUGAAUAGACUCCAGAUUAGGAUUUUUGAUAUUAAUCAACUACGUUAAGCGCUUGUUAAUUGCAGUAAAUUUAGCUACCUUAAAUAUACGCCUAUAUGAUUUAGAUAGUUUUUAUGUUUUGUUUUUACUAUAAUUUUAUGAGAAAAAAAAUCACAAAAUAAUGUUUAAGUAUUUAUUAAAAAAAAUGUGUCGUAUAAUUUCCAUUAUGAUCAAGAUACAUUCCUUUCUACCCCAUGUUUGGUAAAUAGGUAAAAAUUAUGAAUUCAGGUAAUUUUGUUGGAAGAAUGUGUAGUUGAAAAUUAGUUUGGGGAAAAUUAAUUUUAGAAAACGAGGACCAGAGAAGGGGCUUAAAGUGUAAUAGUAUUUUUUAGAUAUUGUCAAUUUAAUGUAUUUUGUUUGGUAUAUGUUAAAAUUUGAUCGAGAAUAUUAUGAUGAAAUAUAUGAUUGAAAAAUUUAGAGGCCCAUUGAAUGUGAUUAAAAUCAAUUCUUUACUUUAACUUGAAAUUUUUAUCAAACUUUAAUGUACACCAAACACGGGCUUAAUUAAUUUCUACUCCAAGAGACUUUCUACUUGUAAAAAUCAUAUUAUAUAAUUUAAAGAGCAUCUAUAAAUUUAGAAAGUUUGAAAUUUGAUGAUUAUCUGUAUUUUUUCAUUUUUUUUGGGUUGGGGGGUGGGGGUAGGGGAGGUUAUCUAUUGUAAGUUAUUUAAGAAGAUCUCAAUUUUCAAAAUUUUUCAAAAAGUUUCUUUGCGAUCCUUACAUUUCAUUCCAUCCCUUUGUGGCCUCUCUCAUUAUCUUGCGCUCCUCUCUUGCCUUUUUGCCUAGUGUAAAUUAUUCUACUCUAUUAAAGUAGCUUGAUUGUUUUCGACAUUCUUUCUGAUUCUAAUCUUGAAAUAAUAGCUCACCUUGUCAAAAAGGUCUUUAUAUCUUGUUUUUGGCAUUCACAAAUUCAAUUUAACUUAACAAUGAAAUAAAAGCUCUCUCGAUAAUCUACUUUGUUUUCACACACUUGGUUAAAUUGGAUUCUCUUCUAAACCAAAUGAAGUGUUACAUGCUUUGAAGAUUAAGGAAAACCCAAAGAGAGUAAAAGCAAGAGAGAAUAUGUCAAAAGAAAAAAAAGGGAAAAAGUCGAGCAAAUUCUUACCCUCUUCUAAACGAUUAAGUAACACUCCCAUUAAACUCAUGUCCACAUUAUAUUAGCAAUGUUUCAACAUCUGCCCUAUCUUAUUCCUUACGUUUCAAUGGUCCGGAUUGGCCCACAUAGUUUAGGCAGUACACACACAUGGGACAUGACACAUGAUUUCACCCAGAUAAAGCUAGCCGGAGCUUUUCCACCAACAUAUUAGGGGCACUAAGGUGAGGCAAAUGGCCCUCAGUAUCCAACAUAAGCACGGUGCUGUGCCCGCCGAGUUGGUUCUUCAGAUAAGUUGCAACUGAAAUCGGCACCGACACAUCUUUAGCAGUUUGAAUUAUUGAACAUGGCACCUUCACUAGGCCUAAUACUC
rnacentral:lncRNA from 1 species